GAUGAACGCUGGCGGCGUGCCUAAUACAUGCAAGUCGAGCGAACGGACGAGAAGCUUGCUUCUAUGAUGUUAGCGGCGGACGGGUGAGUAACACGUGGAUAACCUACCUUUAAGACUGGGAUAACUUCGGGAAACCGUAGCUAAUACCGGAUAAAAACUUGAACCGCAAGGUUUAAAAGUGAAAGACGCUCUUGCAUCCACCAAAAGAUGGAUCCGCUCUGCAUUAGCUAGUUGGUAAGGAAACGGCUUACCAAGGCAACGAUGCAUAGCCGACCUGAGAGGGUGAUCGGCCACACUGGAACUGAGACACGGUCCAGACUCCUACGGGAGGCAGCAGUAGGGAAUCUUCCGCAAUGGGCGAAAGCCUGACGGAGCAACGCCGCGUGAGUGAUGAAGUUCUUCGGAUCGUAAAACUCUGUUAUUAGGGAAGAACAUAUGUGUAAGUAACUGUGCACAUCUUGACGGUACCUAAUCAGAAAGCCACGGCUAACUACGUG
rnacentral:rRNA from 1 species